UGCGUAGGUGGCAUGUUAAGUUUGAUGUGAAAGCUCAGGGCUUAACCCUGAAAUGGCAUUGAAUACUAGCGUGCUGGAGGUUUGGAGGGGGGACUGGAAUUCUCGGUGUAGCAGUGAAAUGCGUAGAUAUCGAGAGGAACACCAGUGGCGAAGGCGAGUCCCUGGACAACACCUGACACUGAGGCACGAAAGCCGGGGGAGCAAACA
rnacentral:rRNA from 1 species